UACAGGGGGGGCAAGCGUUGUUCAGAAUUACUGGGCGUAAAGGGCUCGUAGGUGGCCAACUAAGUCGGACGUGAAAUCCCUCAGCUUAACUGGGGAACUGCGUCCGAUACUGGAUGGCUUGAGUUUGGGAGAGGGAUGCGGAAUUCCAGGUGUAGCGGUGAAAUGCGUAGAUAUCUGGAGGAACACCGGUGGCGAAGGCGGCAUCCUGGACCAACACUGACACUGAGGAGCGAAAGCCAGGGGAGCAAACGGG
rnacentral:rRNA from 1 species